rnacentral:rRNA from 1 species
UGCCUAAUACAUGCAAGUCGAGCGGACCGACGGGAGCUUGCUCCCUUAGGUCAGCGGCGGACGGGUGAGUAACACGUGGGUAACCUGCCUGUAAGACUGGGAUAACUCCGGGAAACCGGGGCUAAUACCGGAUGCUUGAUUGAACCGCAUGGUUCAAUCAUAAAAGGCGGCUUCGGCUGCCGUUUACAGAUGGACCCGCGGCGCAUUAGCUAGUUGGUGAGGUAACGGCUCACCAAGGCGACGAUGCGUAGCCGACCUGAGAGGGUGAUCGGCCACACUGGGACUGAGACACGGCCCAGACUCCUACGGGAGGCAGCAGUAGGGAAUCUUCCGCAAUGGACGAAAGUCUGACGGAGCAACGCCGCGUGAGUGAUGAAGGUUUUCGGAUCGUAAAGCUCUGUUGUUAGGGAAGAACAAGUACCGUUCGAAUAGGGCGGUACCUUGACGGUACCUAACCAGAAAGCCACGGCUAACUACGUGCCAGCAGCCGCGGUAAUACGUAGGUGGCAAGCGUUGUCCGGAAUUAUUGGGCGUAAAGCGCGCGCAGGCGGUUUCUUAAGUCUGAUGUGAAAGCCCCCGGCUCAACCGGGGAGGGUCAUUGGAAACUGGGGAACUUGAGUGCAGAAGAGGAGAGUGGAAUUCCACGUGUAGCGGUGAAAUGCGUAGAGAUGUGGAGGAACACCAGUGGCGAAGGCGACUCUCUGGUCUGUAACUGACGCUGAGGCGCGAAAGCGUGGGGAGCGAACAGGAUUAGAUACCCUGGUAGUCCACGCCGUAAACGAUGAGUGCUAAGUGUUAGAGGGUUUCCGCCCUUUAGUGCUGCAGCAAACGCAUUAAGCACUCCGCCUGGGGAGUACGGUCGCAAGACUGAAACUCAGAGGAAUUGACGGGGGCCCGCACAAGCGGUGGAGCAUGUGGUUUAAUUCGAAGCAACGCGAAGAACCUUACCAGGUCUUGACAUCCUCUGACAUCCCUAGAGAUAGGGCUUCCCCUUCGGGGGCAAAGUGACAGGUGGUGCAUGGGUGUCGUCAGCCCUGUCCUGAGAUGUUGGGUAAGUCCCCAACCAGCCCCACCCUUGACUUAUUUGCCGGCUUCCGUGGGGACUUGAGGGUGACUCCCGGGAACAACCGGAGGAAGGGGGGGA